rfam:Dichomitus squalens LYAD-421 SS1 unplaced genomic scaffold DICSQscaffold_14, whole genome shotgun sequence.
GGGCAUUUGGCACAGUGGUAGCGCGCACGCUUCGCAUGCGUGAGGUCCAGAGUUCAAUCCUCUGAUUGUCCA